rnacentral:rRNA from 1 species
GAUGAACGCUGGCGGCGUGCCUAAUACAUGCAAGUCGAGCGAACGGACGCAAAGCUUGCUUCUCUGAUGUUAGCGGCGCACGGGUGUGUAACACGUGGAUACCCUCCCUAUAUGACUGGGAUAACUUCGGGAAUCCGUAGCUAAUACCGGAUAAUCUUUUCAACCGCAUGGUUCUAAAGUGAAAGAUGGUCUUGCUGUCACUUAUCGAUCUAUCCGCGCUGCAUUGGCUAGUUGGUGAGCUAACGGCUUACCAAGGCGACGAUGCAUAGCCGACGAGAGCGGGGGAUGCGGCACACUGAGACUGUGAGACGGUCCAGACACCGACGGGAGGCAGCGGUAGGGAAGCGUCCGAAAUGGGGGAAAUCCUGACGGAGCAACGCCGGGUGAGUGAUGAAGGUCUGCGGAUCGGAAGACGCUGUUAGUAGGGAAGAACAUAUUUGUAAGUAACGGUGCGCAUCGUGACGGUACCUGAUCAGAAAGCCACGGCUAACUACGUG